GGGUUGUGGCUCAGUGGAAGAGUGCUUGCCUAGCAUGUGUGAGGCACUGGGUUCAAUUCUCAGUAGCACA
rnacentral:tRNA from 1 species